AGCUGGUCCAAUGGUGUUGAGUUAACGGAACUGAUUAACAUUAGUGUCACAAAAUUGGUGUAAAGCCCCCAUGCUAAAUUUGAUUGACUUUAA
rnacentral:sRNA from 1 species